rnacentral:rRNA from 1 species
CACGUAGGGGGCGAGCGUUGUCCGGAUUCAUUGGGCGUAAAGCGCGCGCAGGCGGCUCGGCAAGUCGGGUGUGAAAACCUGGGGCUCAACCCCGGGCGUGCAUCCGAUACUGCCGGGCUUGAGGCAGGUAGGGGAGAUCGGAAUUCCUGGUGUAGCGGUGAAAUGCGCAGAUAUCAGGAAGAACACCCGUGGCGAAGGCGGCUCUCUGGUACGUGACUGACGCUGAGACGCGAAAGCGUGGGGAGCAAACAGG